UGGGGAAUCUUGCGCAAUGGCCGCAAGGCUGACGCAGCGACGCCGCGUGGGGGAGGAAGGGCUUCGGCUCGUAAACCCCUGUUGCCCGGGACGAACGGCUGUAUUUGUACAGCGUGACGGUACCGGGUGAGGAAGCACCGGCUAACUCCGUGCCAGCAGCCGCGGUAAUACGGAGGGUGCGAGCGUUGUCCGGAAUCACUGGGCGUAAAGGGCGCGUAGGCGGCCUGGUCAGCGUGCGGUGAAAGCCCGGGGCUCAACCCCGGGUCGGCCGUGCGAACUGCCAGGCUGGAGCACUGUAGAGGCGGGUGGAAUUCCGGGUGUAGCGGUGGAAUGCGUAGAGAUCCGGAGGAACACCGGUGGCGAAGGCGGCCCGCUGGGCAGUGGCUGACGCUGAGGCGCGACAGCGUGGGGAGCAAACA
rnacentral:rRNA from 1 species